GCGGAUAUGGUGGAAUUGGUAGACACGUUGGUCUUAGAAUCCAAUGAUUUAUUUCGUGAGGGUUCAAAUCCCUCUAUCCGUA
rnacentral:tRNA from 1 species